rnacentral:rRNA from 1 species
AGAAGACAUCUGAAAGAGAUUAAAGAUUUAUCGGUGAUGGAUGGGGAUGCGUCUGAUUAGCUUGUUGGCGGGGUAACGGCCCACCAAGGCAACGAUCAGUAGGGGUUCUGAGAGGAAGGUCCCCCACAUUGGAACUGAGACACGGUCCAAACUCCUACGGGAGGCAGCAGUGAGGAAUAUUGGUCAAUGGACGAGAGUCUGAACCAGCCAAGUAGCGUGCAGGAUGACGGCCCUAUGGGUUGUAAACUGCUUUUAUAAGGGAAUAAAGUGAGUCUCGUGAGACUUUUUGCAUGUACCUUAUGAAUAAGGACCGGCUAAUUCCGUGCCAGCAGCCGCGGUAAUACGGAAGGUCCGGGCGUUAUCCGGAUUUAUUGGGUUUAAAGGGAGCGUAGGCCGGAGAUUAAGCGUGUUGUGAAAUGUAGACGCUCAACGUCUGCACUGCAGCGCGAACUGGUUUCCUUGAGUACGCACAAAGUGGGCGGAAUUCGUGGUGUAGCGGUGAAAUGCUUAGAUAUCACGAAGAACUCCGAUUGCGAAGGCAGCUCACUGGAGCGCAACUGACGCUGAAGCUCGAAAGUGCGGGUAUCGAACAGGAUUAGAUACCCUGGUAGUCCGCACGGUAAACGAUGGAUGCCCGCUGUUGGUCUGAAUAGGUCAGCGGCCAAGCGAAAGCAUUAAGCAUCCCACCUGGGGAGUACGCCGGCAACGGUGCAACUCAAA